UACGUAGGGUGCAAGCGUUAAUCGGAAUUACUGGGCGUAAAGCGUGCGCAGGCGGUUGUGUAAGCCAGAUGUGAAAUCCCCGGGCUCAACCUGGGAACUGCAUUUGUGACUGCACAGCUGGAGUGCGGCAGGGGGGGAUGGAAUUCCGCGUGUAGCAGUGAAAUGCGUAGAUAUGCGGAGGAACACCGAUGGCGAAGGCAAUCCCCUGGGCCUGCACUGACGCUCAUGCACGAAAGCGUGGGGAGCAAACAGG
rnacentral:rRNA from 1 species